UACGUAGGGGGCAAGCGUUAUCCGGAUUUACUGGGUGUAAAGGGAGCGUAGACGGCCAGACAAGUCAGAAGUGAAAGCCCAGGGCUCAACCCUGGGACUGCUUUUGAAACUGCCGGGCUGGAGUGCAGGAGAGGUAGGUGGAAUUCUUGGUGUAGGGGUAAAAUCCGUAGAGAUCAAGAGGAAUACUCAUUGCGAAGGCGACCUGCUAGAACAUAACUGACGCUGAUGCGCGAAAGCGUGGGGAGCAAACAGG
rnacentral:rRNA from 1 species